GCCAUCCUUUGCCUAUCCAUCCAGAGCCCUCCGUCUGUCUCUGAUGUGUGUUUACCACCUCUCUCUGUCUCCCUUGGAGGUGUCAUCUCUCUCUCUGUGUCUCUGUGUGGUUAUCAUCUCUCUCUCUCUCUCUCUCUCUCUCUCUCUCUCUCUGUGUCUCUGAUGUCUGGUUACCACCUCUCUCUCCCUAGGAGGUGUCAUCAUCUCUCUCUGUGUCUGUGAUGUGUGGUUACCACCUCUCUCUGUCUCCCUAGGAGGUGUCAUCUCUCUCUGUAUGGUUACCACCUCUCUCUGUCUCCCUAGGAGGUGUCAUCUCUCUCUCUCUGUGUCUCUGUGUGGUUACCACCUCUCUGUCUCCCUAGGAGGUGUCAUCUCUCUCUGUAUGGUUACCACCUCUCUCUGUCUCCCUAGGAGGUGUCAUCUCUCUCUCUCUGUGUCUCUGUGUGGUUACCACCUCUCUCUGUCUCCAUAGGAGGUGUCAUCAUCUCUCUCU
ensembl:lncRNA